rnacentral:hammerhead_ribozyme from 1 species
AUCCAGCUGACGAGUCCCAAAUAGGAUGCAAUGUUGCAUCCCGGAU